rnacentral:rRNA from 1 species
AGGGGUGUGUGCUUAAUACGCACAUAUCUUGACGUUAGCGACAGAAGAAGCACCGGCUAACUCCGUGCCAGCAGCCGCGGUAAUACGGAGGGUGCGAGCGUUAAUCGGAAUUACUGGGCGUAAAGCGCAUGCAGGUGGUUUGUUAAGUCAGAUGUGAAAGCCCGGGGCUCAACCUCGGAAGGUCAUUUGAAACUGGCAAACUAGAGUACUGUAGAGGGGGGUAGAAUUUCAGGUGUAGCGGUGAAAUGCGUAGAGAUCUGAAGGAAUACCGGUGGCGAAGGCGGCCCCCUGGACAGAUACUGACACUCAGAUGCGAAAGCGUGGGUAGCAAACAGGAUUAGAUACCCUGGUAGUCCACGCCGUAAACGAUGUCUACUUGGAGGUUGUUCCCUAGAGGAGUGGCUUUCGGAGCUAACGCGUUAAGUAGACCGCCUGGGGAGUACGGUCGCAAGAUUAAAACUCAAAUGAAUUGACGGGGGCCCGCACAAGCGGUGGAGCAUGUGGUUUAAUUCGAUGCAACGCG